rnacentral:tRNA from 1 species
AGAAGUUUAGGUUAAAUCAAACCGAGAGCCUUCAAAGCCCUAAACAUGAGCAACCACCCUCCUAACUCCUG